CUUUAUUUUUAUUUUUUAGGUGUUAUGAGCAGACAUAAAAAGUGUUUCAAAAUGAGUGCUAUUUUAAUAAUAAUAUCUAAUGCUAUUACUGUACUAAUAGUUAAACUAACUCCAGAUUCUCAAAGAUUUUGCCCAUGUGAUUGGAUUGGUUUCCAAAACAAAUGCUAUUAUUUCUCUAAAGAAGAAGGAGAUUGAAAUUCAAGUAAAUACAACUGUUCCACUCAACAUACUGACCUAACUAAAAUUGACAGCAAAGAAGAAAUGGAUUUUCUUAGGCGGUACAAACACAGUUCUGAUCACUGGAUUGGGCUGAAGAUGGCAAAAAAUCAAACAGGACAAUAGGUAGAUGGAGCUAAAUUUAACAAAUCGUUUGUUAUGAAAGGGAGUGAAGAAUGUGCCUACCUCAGUGAUGAUGGUACAGCAACAGCUAGAUGCUACACAGAAAGAAAAUGGAUUUGCAGGAAAAAAAUACACUAAGUUAAUGUCUUAGAUAAUAGGGCAACAAAAAAUAAGAUUAUUAAGGAUGAAACAAACUAAGUUUUUUUUUAAUUAAACAAAGUUGAAGUUUUGUA